UCGGCGCCCCGCCCACCGGGCUUAGCAAGUUUUCUGGGGGAAACCCUGCAGUCUACCCACGUCUCUUGGAAAAAACUGUGUGAAAAAUAGACACUUGCUUUUUUCUCCCUUUCUCUCUUGUUUUGGAAACCUGACUUUACUUCAUGGUAAUUACUUCUAUUCCACCAAACAGGAAUUGGCUUUAACUUCUGUCAAGAAGGUUUGGUUUCUGCCAAAACUUUAUCAAUGGAGCUGAACUGAGCCUGACUGAACAUAAUACAGAGUCUUUCUCAAUGUUCUGCUUGGUGGCGAUUUGCAGAAUUGAUUGGAAUGCAAAGCGCCGAUGGGUUUGUCAUUGCAACAUACGCCAGAGCUUUGUUGAGGCGCAUGGGCCAUUCGAGGUUGCUUACAACUUUAAUUUUUGUUGCUACAGUAAUAAAGAACAGAUGUUUAUGCAAAUGAGGAUCGGAAUGAAGACAUGAAACCAAAACCAUCAACAGGGUUUAAAGUGCUCAGUUUCUUUUUUAAUGUGCAUUAGAAAACAAGCUGCUCUAUGCAUUAAAUGUUUCAGCAUAGAAUUAUGUAUAAGACUCUAAGGAACUAUAACAGGACUAAAUCAAGCUGCUGUUUGAACUAUUUUUGUCUUGGAGCCACUAGGUUUAAUUAUCGCCAUCUUGCUUUCUCGCCUGGAGAUCCAUAGUAUGUUUUGACUGAUUUCUUGACCCCUUCCAGUCAGAAAGACUAAAGUGAUCUCUCACAGUGCUGGGUGUGUAAAGAGGAGGAGGUUCUCAAUGAAUUCAGCAACCAGGAGAGGAAGUCCACUUCAGAUAAAGAAGAACCAGAACAUCAAGAGUCCAAAGAGGAAGAGAAGCAACUCUGCAUCAGUCAGGAUGAAGAGCAUCUUGUGCUGAAACAGGAGACUGAUGACAUUUUGGUGAAUCCUCUUAAUGUGCAAAGAAUCCACAAUGAAACAGAACCACAGAGGAACCAACUCAUCUCUCAUGGCUCUGCUGAGGAUGAGAACCAGGAUCAGGAAGGCAGCAAUUCUGAAGACCCAGGAAAAGAGAAAAGGAAGAACAGAA